rnacentral:sRNA from 2 species
CCCAUCAACUAUUCACUUGCUACAUUCCUCUCCGCCUGUUCCUCGAAGUUCAUGUUUGCCUAAAAGGAGCCAUCUGCUUUUUAGGGCUCGCAUAUCUCAAAACUUAUUAUUGACGUUAAUCAGCUACUUUUUGACUUCCUGUUAGUUGAUAUUUUCGUAGAAGUUUUAUAUGCAAAGCAUGUGAUAACUAUAUCUUGCAAAACCCGAAUUACCAGUCUCAUUAAAUACUGCUAAAUUAACGGAGUUGCUCACUACAAACGCAGCCAAAAUAUCCUAUUCUUACAUCAUCUUAGCGUGUUGUCCGCGCACAAUUUCGCAAACCAGGUGACCCUCAUGCCCCAGUUUUCACAUCGCC